rnacentral:ncRNA from 1 species
CGAAUGGCACUGAAGGAAAAAGUAUUUUUGCCGCGGUUUUUUCAGAGAGCUUGUAUAUGGUGAAAGCAAGUAAAACCGCACAAAAAGAAUGGGCUCCUGAGCUUGAUGGAUGAAUGAAGUACUCCAUCACGUCUUCCCGCGUUAUGGGAUUUGAGCGGCUAGUGAUAGCAAUUCGGGUGGUACCGCGGUUACCUUUUCAUCAAUCGUCCCUAUU